AGUUUGAUCCUGGCUCAGGAUGAACGCUGGCGGCGUGCUUAACACAUGCAAGUCGAACGAAGCACCUUGAUUUCUUCGGAUUGAUUGGUGACUGAGUGGCGGACGGGUGAGUAACGCGUGGGUAACCUGCCUCACACAGGGGGAUAACAGUUAGAAAUGACUGCUAAUACCGCAUAAGACCACAGUACCGCAUGGUACAGUGAUAAAAACUCCGGUGGUGUGAGAUGGACCCGCGUCUGAUUAGCUAGUUGGUGAGGUAACGGCCCACCAAGGCGACGAUCAGUAGCCGACCUGAGAGGGUGACCGGCCACAUUGGGACUGAGACACGGCCCAAACUCCUACGGGAGGCAGCAGUGGGGAAUAUUGCACAAUGGGCGAAAGCCUGAUGCAGCGACGCCGCGUGAAGGAUGAAGUAUUUCGGUAUGUAAACUUCUAUCAGCAGGGAAGAAAAUGACGGUACCUGACUAAGAAGCCCCGGCUAACUACGUGCCAGCAGCCGCGGUAAUACGUAGGGGGCAAGCGUUAUCCGGAUUUACUGGGUGUAAAGGGAGCGUAGACGGUCUUGCAAGUCUGAAGUGAAAGCCCGGGGCUCAACCCCGGGACUGCUUUGGAAACUGUAUGACUAGAGUGUCGGAGAGGCAAGUGGAAUUCCUAGUGUAGCGGUGAAAUGCGUAGAUAUUAGGAGGAACACCAGUGGCGAAGGCGGCUUGCUGGACGAUGACUGACGUUGAGGCUCGAAAGCGUGGGGAGCAAACAGGAUUAGAUACCCUGGUAGUCCACGCCGUAAACGAUGACUACUAGCUGUCGGGUAGCAAAGCUAUUCGGUGGCGCAGUUAACACAAUAAGUAGUCCACCUGGGGAGUACGUUCGCAAGAAUGAAACUCAAAGGAAUUGACGGGGA
rnacentral:rRNA from 1 species